UCGGGAAUUUUGGGCAAUGGGCGAAAGCCUGACGCAGCAACGCCGCGUGAGUGAUGAAGGCCUUCGGGUCGUAAAGCUCUGUCGGAGGGAACGAAUGCUCCUGAAGUUAACAGCCUCAGGAGGUGACGGUACCCUCAAAGGAAGCACCGGCUAACUCUGUGCCAGCAGCCGCGGUAAUACAGAGGGUGCAAGCGUUGUUCGGAAUCAUUGGGCGUAAAGGGCGUGUAGGCGGUAUGACAAGUCACUUGUGAAAUCUCUGGGCUUAACCCAGAACGGCCAAGUGAUACUGUCGCGCUAGAGUGCAGAAGGGGCAAUCGGAAUUCUUGGUGUAGCGGUGAAAUGCGUAGAUAUCAAGAGGAACACCUGAGGUGAAGACGGGUUGCUGGGCUGACACUGACGCUGAGGCGCGAAAGCCAGGGGAGCAAACGGGAUUAGAUACCCUGGUAGUCCCUGAGCGGGCUGGCAAGGCGCAU
rnacentral:rRNA from 1 species